GAGUCACAUGUUUUCUGAUCUAGGCAGCCCACAAAAAAGGAUUGUUGGGUUGGUAGGAACUCCAGAUACACAGAUGUAUGUGCACAAGCACUGAAAAGUUUUUCAUGAUUUGUCCCCUUUAAUGUUUUGCAGGUGUGAGUCGUGCCUCCUUUUCCUCUGUGCACAGUGUGCAUUGCAUUGUGGGACAAAAUACCCCAUUAUGUUUGUUAAUAUCUCCUCUCUCUCUUCCCACAUUUGCCGUCUGCAUGUCUACUGUCACAAUCAAAUGAAUUCUAAUGCUAAAAUGGAUCAACAAAAUAAACACAUUGUUAUUAGCCAUAA